UUCCUGGUGGUCUAGUGGCUAAGACUCUGAGCUCCAAAUGCAGUGGGUCCAGGUUUGCUCCCUGGUCAAGGAA
rnacentral:tRNA from 1 species